rnacentral:snRNA from 1 species
AUUUGGGAUUUGGGAUUUGGGA